AAAUGAAUAGACGGGGGAGCGCACAACCGGUGGAGCAUGUGGUUUAAUUCGAUACAAAGCGUAGGACCUUACCUGGGCUUGACAUAUAUCUGCAAGCUUUGCGAAAGCAAGGCCGCCUUCGAGGGUGAUAUACAGGUGUUGCAUGGCUGUCGUCAGCUCGUGUCGUGAGACGUCCGCUUAAGUGCGGUAACGAGCGCAACCCCUGCUGUAUGUUGAAUGUUCAUACAGGACUGCCUUACAGCAAGUAGGGAGGAAGGAGGGGACGACGUCAAGUCAGCAUGACCCUUACGUCCAGGGCUACACACAUCCUACAAUGGAGUGGACAACGGGUUGCGAUCUAGCAAUAGUUAGCUAAUCCUUCAAACCACUCCUCAGUUCAGAUUGUGGGCUGCAAUUCGCCCACAUGAAGUCGGAAUCGGUAGUAAUCGCAGGUCAGCAGACUGCGGUGAAUACGUUCUCGCUCCUUGUACACACCGCCCGU
rnacentral:rRNA from 1 species